UCCAGGCUUCAGGGAGGCCUACACGGAGGCCUCUCUGGAAGCCCCGCCCACCUGCCAAUCAGCUGAGAGGCGUGGAGAGAAGAAGAGCUCUCUGCAGUUUGCAGGCCGCUCGGAUCCUAGGCCAGAGCCAGAGGGCAAGCAACGUCCAGCUCCCUUGGAGGAACCACGAUCCCCAUAGUGGCUUCUACCCUGGCCAGUCUGCUCCUUAGCUGCCUCAAUUGUCCCCUCAGUGCCUUGAAGCUUUGUCUUCCCAUGUGUAGCCCUUUGAGACAACAAAAUCUGACCAGCAGUGCUCCAGCACAAGGUUCCAUCUUUCUACAAAAAGACCGACCGACCCCAGAUG